rnacentral:rRNA from 1 species
GAUCAAGCGCAUAAGGGCUUCUGACGGAUGCCUUGGCAUUGAGAGGCGAUGAAAGG